rnacentral:lncRNA from 1 species
GUGUGAAACAAAUCAUAAGAGCAUGCAACAACAUAAUUUCCUUUUUAUUUUAAUUAACUUUUGUUUCUUCUUUACAUAAAUAUACAUUCACAAACCACUAAUUUUGUCCAAUACUUGUGAUCUUCCCAAUACAUCCACAAACCCCAGAUUCGGGCUUUAUAAAUGUGGGUGCCGGAAUCCAAAACGCGCAGACUGGUUUAGUGUCAGCUUCAAUACACACAUGAUCUCGACAAUCCUCAUGAUUUUGGCACCCAACUAAUAAGAAUUAAGGAACGUUAUCAUAAUGGGGGUGAAAUAAUUUGAAUAAGAAAAUUUAAAGGUAAAAAUUAUUAGGAAUCUUUAUACAAAUAUCAAAUUUAGACAAACAUUAUUUAAAAUUUUAAUUUAUUUUGAUAAAAAUUAGGGUUAAACNNNNNNNNNNNNNNNNNNNNNNNNNNNNNNNNUAUUUUAUUUGAUAACUUUUGAUUCCUAUUUUUAAGUCAACUUAUGUAUACUUCGAUAUUUUUGAAUAAAUUUUUCUAUUUUUGUUUAUAAUAAUAUAAAAAUCUCUUUCACAAUGAUUUAGAAUUUUUUAAAUUAGGUGAAUUAAAUAUGAUUUUUCUAAGCGCAAAAAUCUUAGAAAUUCAUAUCUAAUUCAUCCAUUAUGUUGUAAAAAACUAAAUCUUGGAGGGAGAGAUUAAAAUUUUCUGUUGGAACUAAGAAAACAUUUGACGUAUUUAUAGGGAUAAAAUAUUUAUUUAACCCUAUAUAUUAAUAUAAAAACAUGAUAUCAAAUUUACUGAAAUUUUUUGUUGGAACUAAGAAAACAUUUGACGUAUUUAUAGGGAUAAAAUAUUUAUUUAACCCUAUAAAUUAAUAUAAAAACAUGAUAUUAAAUUUUGUAUUGAAAUACCAGUAUACUAUAUCAAACUAAAGUUUGAAAGCAAAUGUAAAAGCGAUGAUAAAAAUUAC